rnacentral:rRNA from 1 species
GGGGAAUUUUCCGCAAUGGGCGAAAGCCUGACGGAGCAAGACCGCGUGAGGGAGGACGGCUCUUGGGUUGUAAACCUCUUUUCUCUGGGAAGAAGCUCUGACGGUAUCAGAGGAAUAAGCAUCGGCUAACUCCGUGCCAGCAGCCGCGGUAAGACGGAGGAUGCAAGCGUUAUCCGGACUGAUUGGGCGUAAAGCGUCCGCAGGCGGCUGCUCAAGUCUGCUGUCAACGACCAGUGCUUGACUCUGGG